UACGUAGGGACCAAGCGUUGUCCGGAAUUAUCGGGCGUAAAGGGCUCGUAGGCGGUUCGUCACGUCGGGAGUGAAAACUCGGAGCUUAACUCCGAGCCUGCUUCCGAUACGGGCAGACUAGAGGUAGGCAGGGGAGAGCGGAACUCCUGGUGUAGCGGUGGAAUGCGCAGAUAUCAGGAAGAACACCGGUGGCGAAGGCGGCUCUCUGGGCCUUACCUGACGCUGAGGAGCGAAAGCGUGGGUAGCGAACAGG
rnacentral:rRNA from 1 species